GGGGGCGAACUGGAUUCGACGCCGGUUACAAAACCUGAGGUGCAUGCCGAGAGGGUAGUGACUCUCGUAAAUCAAUCACUGUAACUUUUAUAGUUGCCAACGACGAAAACUACGCAUUAGCUGCCUAAACUAACCUUUAGGUUUUAGCUUGACCCGGGGCGGAUGUGCCCAUCUAUUCAAACCGGGUGCGCGACUGAUGGGACCGCCGUCAAAGCCCCGCUUGUGGCCGAGAUGGUUAAAACUAAAGCAAGCUCGCCUUUUACUCCCUGUUCGUCGGGACAAUGAAAGGUUAAACAAUAGACGGAAUAAGCAUGUAGAUCCUAAGGCAGCGGACUGACGGACGCGGGUUCGAUACCCGCCGCCUCCACCA
rnacentral:tmRNA from 1 species